UUUAAUUGUUUAUUAAUUGAGUAAAUGCCAAAUAAAUUGUUUUGAGCUUCUAAUAUUGACUUGUUGAGUUUGACUUGUGUUGUUGGGCCUUGGUCAAGGUUGAUUUGACUUUGUUAAGUUAAGAUCAUUGGAUUUAGGGGAUUGAUGAAAUGUACAUUUCAUCUCCCAAAAAUGAAUGAAUGAUCUUAAUUUGGUAAAACUCCUCCUUUGACCAAUUUGUGUUGAUU
rnacentral:lncRNA from 1 species